AGGGUUUGAUUCUGGCUCAGAUUGAACGCUGGCGGCAUGCUUUACACAUGCAAGUCGAACGGUAACAGGUUAAGCUGACGAGUGGCGAACGGGUGAGUAAUGCAUCGGAACGUGCCCGGUCGUGGGGGAUAACGCAGCGAAAGCUGCGCUAAUACCGCAUACGAUCUGAGGAUGAAAGCGGGGGACCGUAAGGCCUCGCGCGAUCGGAGCGGCCGAUGUCAGAUUAGGUAGUUGGUGGGGUAAAGGCUCACCAAGCCGACGAUCUGUAGCUGGUCUGAGAGGACGACCAGCCACACUGGGACUGAGACACGGCCCAGACUCCUACGGGAGGCAGCAGUGGGGAAUUUUGGACAAUGGGCGCAAGCCUGAUCCAGCAAUGCCGCGUGCAGGAAGAAGGCCUUCGGGCUGUAAACUGCUUUUGUACGGAGCGAAAAACGAGCGCAACCCUUGUCAUUAGUUGCUACGAAAGGGCACUCUAAUGAGACUGCCGGUGACAAACCGGAGGAAGGUGGGGAUGACGUCAAGUCCUCAUGGCCCUUAUAGGUGGGGCUACACACGUCAUACAAUGGCUGGUACAAAGGGUUGCCAACCCGCGAGGGGGAGCUAAUCCCAUAAAGCCAGUCGUAGUCCGGAUCGCAGUCUGCAACUCGACUGCGUGAAGUCGGAAUCGCUAGUAAUCGUGGAUCAGAAUGUCACGGUGGAUACGUUCCCGGGUCUUGUACACACCGCCCGUCACACCAUGGGAGCGGGUUCUGCCAGAAGUAGUUAGCCUAACCGCAAGGAGGGCGAUUACCACGGCAGGGUUCGUGACUGGGGUGAAGUCGUAACAAGGUAGCCGUAUCGGAAGGUGCGGCUGGAUCACCUCCUUUCU
rnacentral:rRNA from 1 species